GCUGGGAUAACUCAGUUGGGAGAACGUGAGUCUCUUAAUCUCAGAGUCGUGGGUUCAAGCACCACACUGGGCA